UGAACGCUGGCGGCAGGCCUAACACAUGCAAGUCGAGCGAGAAAGCACUUCGGUGUGAGUACAGCGGCGGACGGGUGAGUAACGCGUAGGAAUCUACCAAGUAGUGGGGGACAACAUGUGGAAACGCAUGCUAAUACCGCAUACGCCCUACGGGGGAAAGGAGGCUUAGGCUUUCGCUAUUUGAUGAGCCUGCGUAAGAUUAGCUAGUUGGUGAGGUAAUGGCUCACCAAGGCGACGAUCUUUAGCUGGUCUGAGAGGAUGAUCAGCCACACUGGAACUGAGACACGGUCCAGACUCCUACGGGAGGCAGCAGUGGGGAAUAUUGCACAAUGGGGGAAACCCUGAUGCAGCCAUGCCGCGUGUGUGAAGAAGGCUCUAGGGUUGUAAAGCACUUUCAAUGAGGAGGAACGAUUAGUAGUUAAUACCUGCUAGUUUUGACGUUACUCAUAGAAGAAGCACCGGCUAACUCC
rnacentral:rRNA from 1 species